AAAUGACAUGCAUGCAUGCAUGCAUGCAAUUAUUAGACCAACUAGGGGCAUAUUUGUAAAGCCAAUUUAUUUCUAUAUAAACGAAACCUGUGUUUUAUUUAUCAAUCUCACUUCCCUCUCUCUGUAUCUUUCACAAGUUUUAGCUAGCUAGCUAGUAAAGUAAUUAAGUUAAGAUCAUCAGUAUGGCAACAAAUGUGAGUAGUUCUUUGAUGAACCACGUCGGCGGCCGUUGCCGGAGUUUUUCAAAGAGUUACGACGUUGAAGGCAGACGUCGGCCGAUACCGAGGAGGGGGCAAGUAAAGGUGGGAAUUGUCUUAGGCAUUGCUCAAUCUUUGGCUUCUGUUUUUUCUCCUACUGCCCGUACCAAAUCUGCGGCUUUUGCACCACCAUUUUGAUUAUUUAUUUUUAGUUUUUGCAAUUUUUAAUUAAUUUUUUUUGUGUUGUAGAAAAUAGAUUAAGAUGUGAAUUUAUGAUUGGUUAAGUAAGCCCUAGCUAUGAUUGUUUAUUUGUAUCUAAGAGGCUGAUCUACUAAGUUAAGACUACGUUGUUCUUGUAUAUUUUGUUGAAUCCUAGCUUUUCGGGAGUGGUUAACAUGAAGUUUAUUUUUGGAUAAAUUGGUCAAUUGGCCAAUAGAGUGCUGACACGCAGGCGAGAUUGUGUGUGUCAAUAUUCUAUUGGUCAAUUGACCAACUUAAUAAAAAAUAAACUUCAUGCUAACCGGAUAUCUAGCUUCCCCUUUCCUUUUGGCCUUUUAUUUACUUGCUUGAUUGUCUGAAUAUGUAUAUAAUAUAUGACAUGUUCAUCUCCAAUUUAGUAAUUAUUUUCAGGGAUAAUAUAUCUACUCCUAAGUAAGUACAUUCUUAGAUUUUAAAUUUUUUACAAUAUUCUUAGUUUAAUAUCACAAAACAGAGC
rnacentral:lncRNA from 1 species